UGAGUAACCUGCCCUUAACUCUGGGAUAAGCCUGGGAAACUGGGUCUAAUACCGGAUAUGACUCCUCAUCGCAUGGUGGGGGGUGGAAAGCUUUUUGUGGUUUUGGAUGGACUCGCGGCCUAUCAGCUUGUUGGUGAGGUAAUGGCUCACCAAGGCGACGACGGGUAGCCGGCCUGAGAGGGUGACCGGCCACACUGGGACUGAGACACGGCCCAAACUCCUACGGGAGCAG
rnacentral:rRNA from 1 species